GCUUGACUGUAUCCUGGAAUUGGGUUCGGGCUUUUCUUGCGCAGCCUAGGUGGGAGGCAUUGAAGAUUUCUUUCCGGGAAGUUGGAGCCAUCAUUGAGAGACCACUCUGGAGAGGCUAGAAUCCUAAUGGUGAUCCUUGAAUCAGGACACUUGACAGUUUCAGGUGGCAGUUUUUCUGGGCGGAAACCUCAUAAAAGGUAACUGAGGCGCGCAAAGGUUCCCUCAGUCUGGACGGAAAUCAGACAACGAGUGUAAAGGCAAAAGGGAGCUUGACUGCAAGACCCACAAGUCGAGCAGGAGCGAAAGCUGGCCUUAGUGAUCCGACGGUGCCGUGUGGAAGGGCCGUCGCUCAACGAAUAAAAGUUA
rnacentral:rRNA from 1 species